GAGUGAUAAAGAAUGAGUUGAUUGCUAGAGAUUUAGGUUUGGAAAAUGGAUAUUUAGAGAGGUCUCCCCUUUCUAUAAUCCUAAACAUUUAAUAGCAGAAUUUUUAAAACUCCAAUUAUGUGAAGAGAGGAAGAGCAAACAAUGUUCUGUUCAUUCCAGAACUCUCUGAUCCCUUUUUACAAUUUUCUGCUAUCCCCAUCUCAGGCAGAAAGCCAGAAAUACUCUGUCAUAUGAUCAACAGGGACAGGUGUGGCAGGAUCAAAGUCUUUGACCUGCUGAACCUGUGGGGCCACUCUGAAGCAGGUUUUAUAUACCCUAGGAGUCUCCUGUAGGAUCCAGUCAAAGAUGCUUUCUGAUGGAUUUUUAUCAGAGAUUUCACCUUUAUUAAGUGUAUUGUCUAUAAAAAAAUUGCUACUCACUUUGAGACUUAAAACUAUCAAAUUAUCAUCAUAGUUCUGAAAAUCAAAAGUCCAAAGUCAGUUCCUAUGGGCUGAAAGUUGCUCCCUUUUGAGGCUCUAGGGAGAUUCACUUCCUUAUACUUCCAGCUUCUUCAGAACAUAUGUACUCCUUGGCUUGUGUCCUUUUCCUUCAUCUUCAAUGCCAGUGUCUUCAAAUUUCCCUGUCACUGAAACUCUCAC
rnacentral:lncRNA from 1 species